GGCUUGUAGGCGGUUCGUCACGUCGGAAGUGAAAACUCAGAGCUUAACUCUGAGCCUGCUUCCGAUACGGGCGAACUAGAGGGAUGCAGGGGAGAACGGAAUUCCUGGUGGAGCGGUGGAAUGCGCAGAUAUCAGGAGGAACACCGGUGGCGAAGGCGGUUCUCUGGGCAUUUCCUGACGCUGAGAAGCGAAAGCUUGGGGAGCGAACAGGAUUAGAUACCCUGGUAGUCCACGCCGUAAACGAUGGAUACUGGGUGUGGGCGGAGUCGAAUCUGUCUGUGCCGAAGUUAACGCGUUAAGUAUCCCGCCUGGGGAGUACGGCCGCAAGGCUAAAACUCAAAAGAAUUGACGGGGGCCCGCACAAGCAGCGGAGCAUGUUCUUUAAUUCGAUGCAACGCGAAGAACCUUACCUGGACUUGACAUGGAGCUGCAAGCGCACGGAAACGUGUGACCUUCGAGGGUGCUUCACAGAUGCUGCAUGGCUGUCGUCAGCUCGUGUCGUGAGAUGUUGGGUUAAGUCCCGCAACGAGCGCAACCCCUGUGGUGUGUUGCCAGCAUUAAGUUGGGGACUCGCACCAGACUGCCGGUGACAAACCGGAGGAAGGUGGGGACAGACGUCAAGUCAUCAUGGCUCUUACGUCCAGGGCUAGAAACGUGCUACAAUGGCUGAUACAAAGGGUUGCAAGACCGCGAGGUGGAGCGAAUCCCAUCAAAGUCAGUCUAAGUUCGGAUCGCAGUCUGCAACUCGACUGCGUGAAGGCGGAGUUGCUAGUAAUC
rnacentral:rRNA from 1 species